UUAUGCGUAAUCUCCAUUGAGAAGACCAAACGGAUCGCGACUAAAUAUCAAGUUGCACGACGAUACACGUUUCGUGUUCUCUUCUUUCGAUUCAGGAACACGUUCCCGCCGACCGUGAGGCAUAGUAACACGAUUUCUUCUGCCUGAUCAGAUCGAACGUUUCUGACUCAUCGUUCAUUGGCCAACAUCGAUAUUCGCCAACCAGUCACGAUCUUCUUCUCGUCGAUAUCUCCCUGCAUGGAAUAAACUUUAUCGUAAACAUUAUCCUGUUUGACUGUUUAUUCUUGAUUAAAAAGUACAUACAUGCUAAUAAUAUUCGUUCUUAAAAAGCAUAUACGUAAUUUGCAAGAAAUAUUCAUCGAUCUUUCCUGUUCAAUUUUUUCAACCAAUCAAAGAUGUCUAUGAUCAAUCGUUGUUAAGCGAAACGUGUUCGUACAGUAAUAGCUGCCAACUGCUAAAAUAAUCAAGUUUCUCCUCUUUCAAAUCGUUUGGCUAGUGGUAAACGUUACACUAUGCACGUAACGCGUUACAAAAUAACUUUCCAAACGCACACAAUGAUCACGUAACACUUGGGUCAUCGCAAUUGGUUUUUUUUUUUUAUAAGAAAAUUGAAGAGGAAGAAAACAUUGUGAAAGAAAUUAUACCAGUGCCACAGAAUUUUCAGAGUUAAAUAUACAAAUCGUGAAAUUUGUCGAGGAGAAACAAGCGCAACACCAGCGCCUUUCCAAACACUGCGCCGUCAUUUGAAAACUUUAGAAUGCUCGACAGAAUGUUGCUCCCAAUGCAACAAUGUACCGGCUUGGAAUAAUUAGUUUACCUCGCGUGCCAGAAAUCUUUUCCGCACGUGGCCUCCUGCAUUCAAUGUUUAACUCCUUGCGUGACUGAUUAAGAGAGCGACGAGAAGUGAGAAACAAGUGAUAAUCGAGAAAAUGAAACUGACGAAUAACGAACUUCAUCUUAAUAAUAAAUGGUGGACGCAUCACUGGUUAAGCUAGGUUAGGUUACGCAACAGAGAUUCUUAUUACUAGUGUAGAGGCACUGGAAUACUUUCCCUUCCUUUACGACUCCUUGUAAAGAGCCACAACAGCCUCCUUUUACUUCUUUUCCACGCGCAUAAUUUGUUCCUUUUUCUUCGAUUCGAGGUUACGUCGAAGAACGUUUCUCCAUCUCGUUUUCCCACUAAUCAACCAUUUUAAUAAUAGUUUUUCUCCAUUAUUGUGGCAGAACUUCCGGAUCCAGCCACGUCAAAGAAUGUAUUCAUGCGCGACGGUAUAUUUCCGGGAGAAAUACAACGGUAUACGGUUUAUUAGCCUAGAAUUUUUAUCAGGGCGGAAGGAAAACAGUGGCGGAACAGUGGUCGAAGAAACUUUGCCAGAGUAAUAAUAUCCUGUUUGAGAAAAAUCUGCAUGCAUCUUCACCAACAUAAGUUACAUGGAUUUUGCUAGAAGAAUUGAAUUAUGCAUGAAUAUUGCCUUCUAAACGAUGAACGAAUAUUUUUGGCAUAAAGUGAAAGUAUUAUAGAAAAGCGUUUGAUAGUUCAAACAGAUAUUUAUUUAGAAAGAAUUACGAAACAGGAAAUAUACUCGUGUUUCGUAAUUGAAGAGGUUAGAUAUGCAAGUGACAUUUUCUUAUUUAAUGCCUACGAUAUAAAUUCUUUUUUAAUUUUUUAAAUACAAAAUAUUUUUCAUCUCUAGAUAAUAUAAUAUAUCAUCUCUAACAAAAAAUUGGUCAAUAACCUACGAAUGAAAAAUAAUCAAA